CACCAACCACACCAAACCAACCGCCUUACUAAAUUCAGCACCAUUCACCCAUAUGAUAAAGGAAAUUUACCUCAACCUAAGGAGUAAGGCUUGAUUGCUGUGAUUUCCAUUUUUACGAUUUUUUAUCAUGAAAACUUCAGUGUGCUUGUUAGUAAAGAGAACAUAAUAGAUCCUUAAGCCAAUGCUGACCUUUGUCCGUGAAGGAAGAGGGACAUC
rnacentral:lncRNA from 1 species